ensembl:lncRNA
CUUUAGGAAUUCGGAGGCAGCAGGGCCAAGCAGCAGCCUCCCUCCUGGUCUGCACUGUCCCCCACCCUAACCAUGAGUCUUGCACACACCUGUCACCUCUCCUGUGGCCCCUGGGCCCGUCUUACACCCACAAAGUCCUCCCAGCCAGCAGGAGGUGCUGCUGCCUGUCACCGCUAGGAGAACUGACUUGCGAUUGUUUGCAAGUUGCUUUCUGGCCUUGACCUAGAGUUGUACCUCUGGCUUUACUCUCCCUCCUCACCCUGCUCGUCUCUGCUGGGUGGUGACUCAGAGAGCGCGGGCUUCCGCAGAGACCACGUCAUCCACAGGCACAGCCUGGUCAGCAAGGGCCGAGAGCAAGCCUGCCGUGCUGGGUGGGUUAUUCCUCUCUGUCCCGGCUGCAGAUGGCAGCCAGCUCCCAGCAGCUGGACUGACAGUGUGUUGACUGCAAUGAAUUACAACUGGACGUUGUCGGUGGAGAAAGGAAAUAAAGAGUUCCUUAAAAGUCAAAACUGCAGCUAUUUUUCGCAUCACGCUUGAAUCCCAGUUCAACGGGCUGCAUUCGCCUUGUGGCAUUGACAUGUGUCCGCACAGACAGCCCACAAGUGCAGCGCUCCCAGCACAAGAAGACGUAAAGAAAAAGCCUCAAGAUGAACAUCUGCAUCCAGUUUCUGAAUUCUGCGUCUACUGGAAGACAGGACAUUCUGGAAAAGCUCCAUUUUCACCCCAUUUUUUCUGCAUAAAAACAAAUUCAUUUCUAUUUCCAGCUAGCUGUUUAACCCAGACCAAGAACGCAAGGCAGAUAAAACUUCCCCCGAGAUAGUAUGCUUCUGACGUAUCUGAAGAGCUAGUCCCCUUCUCCCACCCCAUGGAUCCAGCAGGAAGGUGCACAAUGCAGUUAAGAAUUCACAGCAUGGGUGGGGGUGGAGCUCAGUGGUGCCAUCACCCGCCUCAGAAGCCCAAGGUUCUGAGUUCGAUCCCCAGUACCAAAAAGAAAGAGAGAGAAUUCACAGCAUGGGUUCAGAACCCAGCACUUUCUCUGCUGACCGCGUGACCCUGGUUGAGCACCGGCCUCUCCGGGCCUCCGUUUCCCCUCUGACACCGGGUAGUGAGACCUCCCACUUUGCGGUUUCUGAGAGGGCGCCAUACCUGUGUGCUGCUUAGUAGUCUGUCCCACCGUGACGGGAAGGAGAUGCCAGUCCUCAGCCCUGCUCCUGACAGCCCGCCGAGGCGCCUCCUCUCCUCCUUGGGGCCCAGGCCUGCCCUCCCCGCACUCCACGCAGGGGCCACGGAGCCCCCCGCGCAGCAGAAGCCCCCUUCCUGCCUGCCCUCCAGCCACCUCGCCCCUCACCCACCUCCAGGAGGGCCCCUCCGCCGCCCGCAGUGAGCCACCCCGCCGGAGCUGUGCUCCGCUCCCCGGUUCCCCAGCUACCCCGGCCUCUCUGUCCUCAGGCGGUACUGUUCUCUCUGCCCGGCAUUUCAAGAGCAAAGGUACACUUUAGAUCCUCCUGGGUUUGUGCCACUUCUACGUAGUAGAUGUGCAAUAAAAAGCUUGGGAACGAAUGAAGAAAUUGAAAGAAACGAAAGCAUAGAACACAAGGGGCCAGCACUUUACAGUCUAAAUAUCAUACUGUACGUAAGACCGAAGGCCCUAAUUCAUCACGACCGUGGAAGGCUUUUUCACGUCCUUCCUAAAACUGACUCUGAGAGACAGACGUGACUGAUGUUUCUUUGGGCCACUUUUAUGGAUGGAUACUCGAGGGUUUGCUUUAAUCAGGAACGAAGGUAACUUGAAAAUCACAGCGCUCUACUCUCCUACUGAACCCAUCACAAGGUUAGAACCACCUGACAUCAGUCUCCCUUUCCUCAUUUCCGGGGAACGGUCCAACAAAUGGCCGUUUAGCCUCCACACACCGACCGUCAAGUGCAGCGACUGAUUCGGUCAGAGCUUAGCUUCUUAGUCAACUGGCGCGCAGCCCUGGAAGCCAGCACCUGCCCCGCGGCAGCAUGCGAUCUGCGGCACUGGCGAAGAACCGCGCAGACAGCGCCACUGUCCGAGUCUGGACGCGCCCGCUUCAGACCGAGGACACGCACGUGUGCGGCGCUUUCACUCGGCCCCUUACACUCAUGACGUGAGCGAACCGGAGUCACAGCAGCAAGGCAGGCGACGGGCGUGACGCGAACUGCUACCGCAGGAUGAUGCCGAUCCCGGGGCCUGCGGGGCGCGGUCACCGCCCCCUGUCCCGGGCUCUGAGGUCAUCGGGGAGCAUCCCAGGGACAAAGAGCAGUGUGAGUCCCGCCUGUGUCCCCCACCUCCCGCUCCCUCAUCCGUCUGUGACGCUGGCCAGGGCCAUCCCGCUGCGCCUCUGCGGACCUGCCCUGGGGUUUCUGUUCCACAGCAGGGGAGCGCGCUCAGGGGCCAGAGGAACGGCCAGCUCCCUUCCCAGACAGCGGGGCUGGCCAAGCUCAUCCCGGAGACGUCCCAGAGCGCAGAACCCAGCAGGAGACAGCGCUGGCUGGGACCAUCCCUCGGGCCUGGAAACCGAGGCUCAGGACCGCCGCAGCUCUGCAGGGCCAGGACGGCACGCAGCGCUGCCGGGGCCUCCCGGAAGCAGAGCCUGUGGCCCUAUUUGGUUAGAGGUCCAUGCGGAUGAAACUGGGAUAAGAUGCUGA